rnacentral:lncRNA from 1 species
AAAAAUCAAAUUGAGGAUAUUUUUAUAAAAAAAGAUAAUAAAUAAAUAUUAUAUUUUCAAAUUUGAGUUUUUGCCUUUCUCGUAAAUACUUCUGUUAAACAGAGCCGCUAACUAAAAUAUUCCAAUUGGGCCCUAACGACAGAGCAAAAGAUUAUAGUAGUAAUGAAGGGUCGGCCAGAGGAGCCAACCCUAUGAGGUUUCCAUAAAUUAUGUCGGCCAUAUGUCUUGAUAGCCAUACAGCACUCACCAGACGAGGGUGAGAGUGGCAUAUUUAGCCAACCGACCCUUUUAAAUCAAGAAUAUUACAAGUUCUCCUUAUUUAUAUGAAGGUCCUUUCAGUUGGUUAUUACGUCCAACCG